GACGAACGCUGGCGGCGUGCUUAACACAUGCAAGUCGAACGAAGAGCGAUGGAAGCUUGCUUCUAUCAAUCUUAGUGGCGAACGGGUGAGUAACGCGUAAUCAACCUGCCCUUCAGAGGGGGACAACAGUUGGAAACGACUGCUAAUACCGCAUACGAUCUAAUCUCGGCAUCGAGGAUAGAUGAAAGGUGGCCUCUACAUGUAAGCUAUCACUGAAGGAGGGGAUUGCGUCUGAUUAGCUAGUUGGAGGGGUAACGGCCCACCAAGGCGAUGAUCAGUAGCCGGUCUGAGAGGAUGAACGGCCACAUUGGGACUGAGACACGGCCCAGACUCCUACGGGAGGCAGCAGUGGGGAAUCUUCCGCAAUGGACGAAAGUCUGACGGAGCAACGCCGCGUGAGUGAUGACGGCCUUCGGGUUGUAAAGCUCUGUUAAUCGGGACGAAAGGCCUUCCUGCGAAUAGUGAGAAAGGAAUUGACGGAACCGGAAUAAAA
rnacentral:rRNA from 1 species